ACAUGCCUACAACAUAGCGUUAAUGCAUCGGAUCCCAUUAGAACUUUGCAGUUAAGCGCGCUCAGGCUAGAGUGGUAUUGGGAUAGAUGACCUCCCUGGAAGUCCUAGUGUUUUACAUGGC
rnacentral:rRNA from 1 species